rnacentral:rRNA from 1 species
AUGUUGCUCAAGCAGAUCUGUUUGUCAGAAACAGGAUUAUCAUACCAAUUCAUAUUCAAACCAAAGGCACUUUCUCGUCACGCAGUUGGGAGGUAUGUACUGCAUGGCUUCUCCAUUCUAUGUGAUACGUUUGCUUUACUAUGCAUUUGGUUACCUUCUUAUGUUGAUGUUACAGAAGCAUCGUCCUUCCCUUUUAUGCAGAUAGUCAGUGUCAGGCUCACCCAAACCUAUGGCUUAUGGAGUCUCAUUGCUUGCUUUACUUUGGGGGUAAUCAAUUAUACCUGUCAUUGUUUGAUUGCCAUAUUUUGGUGGUAUAGAUGCCAUACAGUUCUUUUUACAUUGGAGAAGUUUAUUUUUGAAUGA